UCCCUGUAAUUACAUGUGCAUAUUGUGUUUAUUCUGCAAAAGUUAAUGCAACCAAGGCGUGGCACCAAAAUUAGUGCUGUUAACAUUUUCAAUUUCUGCCAUAUUUCAUGUACAUUUAGUUACGACAUCAAGCUAUUUCAUCAAUUUGCAAUUGGAGUUUCUUUUGAUCAAUUUUACAGAACAGAAACGAUAUUUGUGAUAGAAAAUGAAAAUGUUAAUGGUAUUGACGGUGCUCUGUAUGGUAAUAUUUGGUGCAAGUUCUCAGUAUAUGACAGGUGAGUACUGCCAGGAUAUUUUGUGUGAAUAUACGCAUUCAGCAACAGAUUGUAUCAGCUGUUGUCAAACCAAAGGAUUUAGUGCAGGUGGAGCGUGUAGUUAUGACAAGUGUUUGUGUUACGUUCACGAAGAUAACAACGACCGUUGAUCGUCCAAGAAAACACGCCACAGUUAAAAUUCAUGAAUAAAUAACUAUUACUCUUACAA